rnacentral:rRNA from 1 species
AUGCUUUACACAUGCAAGUCGAACGGCAGCACGGGGGCAACCCUGGUGGCGAGUGGCGAACGGGUGAGUAAUAUAUCGGAACGUGCCCAGUCGUGGGGGAUAACGUAGCGAAAGUUACGCUAAUACCGCAUACGAUCUACGGAUGAAAGCGGGGGAUCGCAAGACCUCGCGCGAUUGGAGCGGCCGAUAUCAGAUUAGGUAGUUGGUGGGGUAAAGGCUCACCAAGCCAACGAUCUGUAGCUGGUCUGAGAGGACGACCAGCCACACUGGGACUGAGACACGGCCCAGACUCCUACGGGAGGCAGCAGUGGGGAAUUUUGGACAAUGGACGCAAGUCUGAUCCAGCCAUUCCGCGUGCAGGACGAAGGCCUUCGGGUUGUAAACUGCUUUUGUACGGAACGAAAAAGCUCUUACUAAUACUAGGAGUCCAUGACGGUACCGUAAGAAUAAGCACCGGCUAACUACGUGCCAGCAGCCGCGGUAAUACGUAGGGUGCGAGCGUUAAUCGGAAUUACUGGGCGUAAAGCGUGCGCAGGCGGUUAUAUAAGACAGAUGUGAAAUCCCCGGGCUCAACCUGGGAACUGCAUUUGUGACUGUAUAGCUAGAGUGCGGCAGAGGGGGAUGGAAUUCCGCGUGUAGCAGUGAAAUGCGUAGAUAUGCGGAGGAACACCGAUGGCGAAGGCA